AUUGAACGCUGGCGGCAGGCUUAACACAUGCAAGUCGAGCGGGGGAAGGUAGCUUGCUACCGAACCUAGCGGCGGACGGGUGAGUAAUGCUUAGGAAUCUGCCUAUUAGUGGGGGACAACAUCUCGAAAGGGAUGCUAAUACCGCAUACGUCCUACGGGAGAAAGCAGGGGAUCCUCGGACCUUGCGCUAAUAGAUGAGCCUAAGUCGGAUUAGCUAGUUGGUGGGGUAAAGGCCUACCAAGGCGACGAUCUGUAGCGGAUCUGAGAGGAUGAUCGGCCACAGUGGGACUGAGACACGGCCCAGACUCAUACGGGAGGCAGCAGUGGGGAAUAUUGGACAAUGGGGGGAACCCUGAUCCAGCCAUGCCGCGUGUGUGAAGAAGGCCUUAUGGUUGUAAAGCACUUUAAGCGAGGCGGAGGCUACUUUAGUUAAUACCUAGAGAUAGUGGACGUUACUCGCAGAAUAAGCACCGGCUAACUCUGUGCCAGCCGCCGCCGUAA
rnacentral:rRNA from 1 species